AUGUGACCCCAGGAUGGGCGGGGUGACCCGCUGAGUUUAAGCAUAUCAAUAAGCGGAGGAGAAGAAACUUACGAGGAUUCCCUUA
rnacentral:rRNA from 1 species